CCUCCAGAGUUCAAGUGAUUCUGGUACCUCAGCCUCCCAAAUAGCUGGGACUACAGAUGAAAUAUGAUGACCAGGAUUUGCUUCAAAAUAAUCCAGGAAUGGGAGAUGAGGGUGAAAGUACAGAGGACACAAGAUUCCCUGUAAGCCAAUAAAAUUAUAAUAAUUCUAA